rnacentral:rRNA from 1 species
UGGGGAAUAUUGCACAAUGGGCGCAAGCCUGAUGCAGCAACGCCGCGUGAACGAUGAAGGUCUUCGGAUCGUAAAGUUCUGUUGCAGGGGAAGAUAAUGACGGUACCCUGUGAGGAAGCCCCGGCUAACUACGUACCAGCAGCCGCGGUAAUACGUAGGGGGCUAGCGUUAUCCGGAUUUACUGGGCGUAAAGGGUGCGUAGGUGGUCUUUCAAGUCGGUGGUUAAAGGCUACGGCUCAACCGUAGUUAGCCUCCGAAACUGGAAGACUUGAGUGCAGGAGAGGAAAGUGGAAUUCCCAGUGUAGCGGUGAAAUGCGUAGAUAUUGGGAGGAACACCAGUAGCGAAGGCGGCUUUCUGGACUGCAACUGACACUGAGGCACGAAAGCGUGGGUAGCAAACAGG